UGAUCGCCAAAGACCAAGAAAGUAACAAUCAGCAAGUACUUUUUAGAGAGGAAAAAGCCGUGGCUGCAAGCUUUUCCAUUGUACUGAUUUGUGAAUAACACUUGAGAGGCUUUUCUUCGAACGGACAUGGUUCUAGUAGGGGGAAACGGUAUCGGCCGUUAUCCGAUUUGAGAGGAUUUAGUCAUUAUACUAGAUCAACUAGGGUGGAACCGCGGAAGCUAUAGAGCUCUCGUCCCUUGC
rnacentral:ncRNA from 1 species